GAUGAAAGAACGUAGCGAAAUGCGAUAAGUAAUGCGAAUUGCAGAAUUCAGUGAAUCAUCGAAUCUUUGAACGCACAUUGCGCCCGCCAGUAUUCUGGCGGGCAUGCCUGUCUGAGCGUCGUUUCGACCCUCGCGCCCGGCUUCUGUCGGGGGCGGUGUUGGGGAUCGACCACACCCUUCAGUGGGAGGCCGGCCCCUAAAUUCAGUGGCGACCACGCUGUAGCCUCCCCUGCGUAGUACUAAAACCACCUCGCAGGCGGAGAGCGGUGCGGCCCGCCGUAAAACCCCCCAACUUUUACAAGGUCGACCUCAGAUCAGGUAGGAAUACCCGCUGAACUUAAGCAUAUCAAUAAGCGGAGGA
rnacentral:misc_RNA from 1 species